CCUACGGGAGGCUGCAGUGGGGAAUUUUGGACAAUGGGCGAAAGCCUGAUCCAGCAAUGCCGCGUGAGUGAAGAAGGCCUUCGGGUUGUAAAGCUCUUUUGUCAGGGAAGAAAUCCUUAAUGCUAAUAUCAUUGAGGGCUGACGGUACCUGAAGAAUAAGCACCGGCUAACUACGUGCCAGCAGCCGCGGUAAUACGUAGGGUGCGAGCGUUAAUCGGAAUUACUGGGCGUAAAGCGUGCGCAGGCGGUUUUGUAAGACAGGUGUGAAAUCCCCGAGCUCAACUUGGGAACUGCACUUGUGACUGCAAGACUAGAGUGUGUCAGAGGGAGGUAGAAUUCCACGUGUAGCAGUGAAAUGCGUAGAGAUGUGGAGGAAUACCAGUGGCGAAGGCGGCCUCCUGGGAUAACACUGACGCUCAUGUACGAAAGCGUGGGGAGCAAACAGGAUUAGAUACCCUAGUAGUC
rnacentral:rRNA from 1 species